ACGGGAAACAGCGCUCCAUCGUUUAAUCGCCUUUCAAACACCCGUAUAACACCUGGAGCUGUUAAACGGGUCUAUUAAGUAUAAAAAUAAGUUGUUCAGGGGUAGGCUGUAGUUAGUGAAUGCAUUGUUCCUUCUGUGGAAAACAGCCUUUUUUGUAGUAAUGAAGACCUGUGGAUUGAAGACGAGGAGCUCGAAGAAGCCGCACAGGAAUGUUAAGAAGACUGCUAAGGCGUAUUCCACCUAUAUUUAUAGGCUUCAGAAAGAGGGAGACUCUGCGGUGAGCAAGUUAAUCACCCUGCCAAGAUCCAUCUCUGUGGAAAGUGUGGUGCGGGUGAUGUCCGAGGCGGCCCGGCUCUCCAAGUACAACAAGCGGGGCGCCAUCACCCGGCAGGAGAUCCGCGCUGCUCUGCAAGUCCUCACUUCAGCGAAGCCAUAAACACAACUGUCGAAGUUUUGCUUUUAAUUAACUAUGAAUUAAAGUUGUUUUACUAA